rnacentral:misc_RNA from 1 species
GAGGAAUGCAAGUUGAAUUACAUCUUGAAAAUCCAGGAAAAAGAGGGGGGAUCAUGAUUUAGGAGGACAAAAAUCAAUGUUUGAUGUGUGUUGCCUCUUCCCUAAACUUAAAAGGGAGGAUGGAAGGAAUUGGUAAAUAGGUACCUUUUAUUCACCAAGCAGAGAACUCUCCUGUAGCGUAUCCUUAAAAAGAAAAUUGGUUGUAAGCCGCAGUCAAUCAAACAGAUUUUGUAACUUCAUGAAUGGCGUUUGCCAGAUAUGGUACGUUCCCGGUUGUAACACCUGCCAUGCUUAUGCGGCCAUUUCUAGUCAUGUAAAUGUGAUAUUCAUUUGUCAAACGGUCGACCUGUUCGGGGGUCAAUCCACUGUAACAGAACAUCCCAAUCUGUUUGGUUAUAUGUUCCCACGACAAUGGUGAUCCCAACUUUUCAAGGUUUUCUCGUAGAGCAGUUCGCAUACCAAUGAUUCGAUCUGCCAUGACCUUAACUUCCUU